GACGUAGGGGGCAAGCGUUGUCCGGAAUCAUUGGGCGUAAAGCGCUCGUAGGUGGAUCGGUAAGUCUGCAAAGAAAGACCCCGGGCUCAACUCGGGGAACGGUGUGGAUACUACCGAUCUUGAGGCAAUCAGAGGAUGAUGGAAUUCCCGGUGUAGGCGGUGAAAUGCGUAGAUAUCGGGAGGAACACCAGUGGCGAAGGCGAUCAUCUGGGGUUGUUCUGACACUGAGGAGCGAAAGCUAGGGGAGCAAACGGG
rnacentral:rRNA from 1 species